GAGAGAGAGGGCGACCAGGGGAAUUUCCAAAACCCUAAAACUUCAUUAAUCUUGCAAAUUGAAGGAUUAAUCCAAGUCAAAAUAAAAAAUUGAGCUUAGAAUCAUGAUCCUCAUCACAAGAGGAUUGUAAGGGAAGGAAGCCGGGGCAUCUAGCGGACAAACCGGUGUGGACGCACGUUUGAAGGGUUUGCUUUAAAGGUAAAUUUGCAAAUCUUACGGGUGGCGACCAAGUGAUAUAUGAAGAACCGAACACUACAUUUCUAAGCUUCCGCUAUGUUUUGAAUCCUUAAAACUUUGUAUAUGGGAUGUAAACAUGUUUUGAACAUCUU